CGCAUCUGUGCAUGCAGCAUAUCAAUAAGCGGAGGAAAAGAAACUAACAAGGAUUCCCUUAGUAACGGCGAGUGAAGCGGGAAGAGCUCAAAUUUGAAAUCUUCAAGGUUUUACCUUGACGAAUUGUAGUUUAAAGAAGUGUUUUCUGUUGAAGUUUUGGUAAAAGUUCUUUGGAAUAGGACAUCAUAGAGGGUGAGAAUCCCGUAUUUGACCAUUAUUUUCAGCUGUGUGAUACACUUUCAAAGAGUCGGAUUGUUUGGGAAUGCAGUCCAAAAUGGGUGGUAAAUUUCAUCUAAAGCUAAAUAUUGGCGAGAGACCGAUAGCGAACAAGUACCGUGAGGGAAAGAUGAAAAGAACUUUGAAAAGAGAGUUAAACAGUACGUGAAAUUGUCAAAAGGGAAGCGUUUGACACCAGUGUUGUUUUCUCGAAAAUCAAUUAAAAAGAGUUAGAUUUUGUUGUGUAUUGACCUUAACAGCUUGCAUUUCAAUUUUCUUGCUUUUUUUAAUGCACUUUUCGUUUAACAAGUCAACAUCAGUUUCUUUUGUUGUAAAAAGGUCAUUGGAAGGUGGCUUUCUUUUCGGAGAAAGUGUUUAUAGCCUUUGACUCCUGCAAUCGGAGAGACUGAGGUCUGCAGCGUAGAUCCUUCGGGGUUAGAUACAUUUGUGCUAAGUUAUAGCUUUUUAUAGACAACUUGUUGACUAUGAUUAGUCUUGUAGCUUACUCGCUUAUGUUAUUUUACCUACGCUUAGGAUGUUGAUCUGUAGUGCGUGCGC
rnacentral:rRNA from 1 species